rnacentral:rRNA from 1 species
CGGCCUGGGAAGGCCGGCCAGAGAGGGUGAAAGCCCCGUAUCCGAAGUCUAAAGUACCCUAGCAGGAUCCAGAGUACCACGAGACACGAGAAACCUUGUGGGAAUGAGCGGGGACCACCCCGUAAGGCUAAAUACUCCUUAGUGACCGAUAGCGCAUAGUACUGUGAAGGAAAGGUGAAAAGGACCCCGGGAGGGGAGUGAAAGAGAACCUGAAACCCUAUGUUUACAAGCUGUGGAACCCCUUUAGAUGGGGAACUGCGUACUUUUUGUAGAACGGUCCGGCGAGUUGCCCGUACUGGCAAGGUUAAGGACUUAAGGUCUGGAGCCGAAGUGAAAGCAAGCGUUAAGAGCGCGAAUCAGUCAGUGAGGGCAGACCCGAAACCGGGUGACCUAUCCAUGUCCAGGUNNNNNNNNNNCAGUCAGUGAGGGCAGACCCGAAACCGGGUGACCUAUCCAUGUCCAGGUUGAAGCUUCCGUAAGAGGAAGUGGAGGACCGAACCCACAUCCGUUGAAAAGGGUGGGGAUGAGGUGUGGAUAGCGGAGAAAUUCCAAUCGAACCCGGAGAUAGCUGGUUCUCCUCGAAAUAGCUUUAGGGCUAGCCUCAUCAAAGUCUGCUGGAGGUAGAGCACUGAAUUGUCUAGGGGGCGUCAAAGCUUACCAAAACAUAUCAAACUCCGAAUGCCAGUCAGAUGAUUGAUGGGAGUCAGACUGUACGAGAUAAGUUGGACAGUCGAAAGGGAAAGAGCCCAGACCACCAGCUAAGGUCCCAAAGUACGUGUUAAGUGGAAAAGGAUGUGGGAUUUCAAAGACAACUAGGACGUUGGCUUAGAAGCAGCCAUACAUUGAAAGAGUGCGUAAUAGCUCACUAGUCGAGAGAUCCUGCGCCGAAAAUGUCCGGGGCUAAAACACGACACCGAAGCUGUGGAAUGUAGAAAUACAUUGGUAGAGGAGCAUUGUAAGCGGGAUGAAGCCAUACCGAAAGGAGUGGUGGACUGCUUAGAAGAGAGAAUGCCGGAAUGAGUAGCGAGAGGAAGGUGAGAAUCCUUCCGGCCGAAUAUCUAAGGUUUCCAGAGUAAAGCUGAUCUGCUCUGGGUAAGUCGGGACCUAAGGCGAGGGCGAGAGCCGUAGUCGAUGGAUAACUGGUUGAGAUUCCAGUACCACAUAAAAACAGAACUGUGGGGACACAGAAGGGAAAUGGGAGCCAGGAAUGGAAAGACUGGUGCAAGCGAGGUAGCCGUAUGGGAGGCAAAUCCCCCAUGCAAGGCAAAGGCGUUACGCGGACCGAACAAAAGUAGGGAAGCCCAGGCCCCCAGCUGUCAAGAAAAGCCGCUAUUGUUUUUUAUGUGCCCGUACCGUAAACCGACACAGGUGGAUGAGGAGAGAAUCCUAAGGCCGACGGGAGAAGUGUUGUUAAGGAACUCGGCAAAAUGACUCCGUAACUUCGGGAGAAGGAGUGCCAGGUAAGACUGGCCGCAGAGAAUUGGCCCAAGCAACUGUUUAGCAAAAACACAGGUCUAUGCAAAACCGCAAGGUGAAGUAUAUGGGCUGACGCCUGCCCGGUGCUGGAAGGUUAAGGGGAGGGCUUAGCGAGUGAUCGCGAAGGUCUGAACUUAAGCCCCAGUAAACGGCGGCCGUAACUAUAACGGUCCUAAGGUAGCGAAAUUCCUUGUCGGGUAAGUUCCGACCCGCACGAAAGGCGUAAUGAUUUGGGCACUGUCUCAACAACACACCCGGUGAAAUUGAAAUACCAGUGAAGAUGCUGGUUACCUGCGCCAGGACGGAAAGACCCCAUGGAGCUUUACUCCAGCUUGAUACUGGGAUUCGGUACUGCAUGUACAGGAUAGGUGGGAGACUGAGAAAGAAGGACGCCAGUCCUUUUGGAGUCACUGUUGGGAUACCACCCUUGCAGUAUUGGAUUUCUAACCAACAGCCAUGAUCUGGUUGGGGGACAAUGUCAGGUGGGGAGUUUGACUGGGGCGGUCGCCUCCGAAAGGGUAUCGGAGGCGCUCAAAGGUCUUCUCAGAAUGGACGGAAACCAUUCGCAGAGUGCAAAGGCAGAAGAAGGCUUGACUGUGACACCGACGGGUGGAGCAGGUACGAAAGUAGGACUUAGUGAUCCGGUGGUAUAACGUGGGAUUGCCAUCGCUCAACGGAUAAAAGCUACCCUGGGGAUAACAGGCUUAUCACUCCCAAGAGUUCACAUCGACGGAGUGGUUUGGCACCUCGAUGUCGGCUCAUCGCAUCCUGGAGCUGUAGCAGGUUCCAAGGGUUGGGCUGUUCGCCCAUUAAAGCGGUACGCGAGCUGGGUUCAGAACGUCGUGAGACAGUUCGGUCCCUAUCCGGCGCAGGCGGAGGAAAUUUGAUAGGAGCUGUCCUUAGUACGAGAGGACCGGGAUGGACGGACCACUGGUGGAUCUGUUGUAUUACCAAAUGCAUAGCAGAGUAGCCAAGUCUGGAAGGGAUAAACGCUGAAGGCAUCUAAGCGUGAAGCCCCCCUAAAGAUAAGAUUUCCCAUAGAGUAAUCUAGUAAGACCCCUUGAAGACGACGAGGUAGAUAGGGCAGAGGUGGAAGUACGGCAACGUAUGGAGCUGACUGUUACUAAUCGGUCGAGGCUUUAACCAAG